AGCGCGGGAGCAUCCUGGCGGCGAGUGGCGAACGGGUGAGUAAUAUAUCGGAACGUACCUUUCAGUGGGGGAUAACGUAGCGAAAGUUACGCUAAUACCGCAUAUUCUGUGCGCAGGAAAGCAGGGGAUCGCAAGACCUUGCGCUGAUUGAGCGGCCGAUAUCAGAUUAGCUAGUUGGUGAGGUAAAGGCUCACCAAGGCGACGAUCUGUAGCGGGUCUGAGAGGAUGAUCCGCCACACUGGAACUGAGACACGGUCCAGACUCCUACGGGAGGCAGCAGUGGGGAAUUUUGGACAAUGGGGGCAACCCUGAUCCAGCCAUGCCGCGUGAGUGAAGAAGGCCUUCGGGUUGUAAAGCUCUUUCGGCCGGGAAGAAAUCGCACAGGUUAAUACCCUGUGUGGAUGACGGUACCGGAAUAAGAAGCACCGGCUAACUACGUGCCAGCAGCCGCGGUAAUACGUAGGGUGCGAGCGUUAAUCGGAAUUACUGGGCGUAAAGCGUGCGCAGGCGGUUUUGUAAGACAGGCGUGAAAUCCCCGGGCUCAACCUGGGAACUGCGUUUGUGGCUGCAAGGCUAGAGUAUGGCAGAGGGGGGUGGAAUUCCACGUGUAGCAGUGAAAUGCGUAGAGAUGUGGAGGAACACCGAUGGCGAAGGCAGCCCCCUGGGCCAAUACUGACGCUCAUGCACGAAAGCGUGGGUAGCAAACAGGAUUAGAUACCCUGGUAGUCCACGCCCUAAACGAUGUCAACUGGUUGUUGGGAAUUUACUUUCUCAGUAACGAAGCUAACGCGUGAAGUUGACCGCCUGGGGAGUAC
rnacentral:rRNA from 1 species